AUGAAAGAAAUAUUUAAAUUUUAAUCAAGUUUCUUUACUAAACAUUCGUAUGAUUUAGGCUCUGCGUUAACACUAGCACAUUUACAUUCAUUAAAACAGCUGCAUGUUCUAAAACCGGUAACAAAUACAAACUUAAGUGAUUUGAUUCUUUUGGAUGUUUGCUUUGCAGGAGAAAUUCACCAUCAAGAUGCUAAUAUGAAUGAAAUGGACUCAGCACCAGGAGAAACCGCCACGUCUCGAGAAGAUUAUGAAACAUAACCAACCAUGGCUGCUCACCACAUCACUAGCCAAAGCCAUAUCACACUAGACGAUCCUAAUCAAGGUAGCAUUAAAAAAGUGGACGCUAAGAAUACUAGAGCUUUGCAGAUGAAAAAAAAUAACCAAGAAAGAAAUCUCAAAAAUAAAUGUAUGUCUCUCAAUUUAAACUCAAUAUAUCAUUCUUACAAACAUAUUGUACAACAUAUAACACAUUAAAAGUAAUAACUUGAUCAUAAAGUUACCUCAUGGCAUUUACAAAAUCUUACUCUGGAGUUAAA